rnacentral:rRNA from 1 species
UACGUAGGGUGCGAGCGUUGUCCGGAAUUACUGGGCGUAAAGCGCACGUAGGCGGCUUUGUAAGUUAGAGGUGAAAGCCCAGGGCUCAACCCUGGAAUUGCCUUUAAGACUGCAUCGCUUGAACAUCGGAGAGGUAAGUGGAAUUCCGAGUGUAGAGGUGAAAUUCGUAGAUAUUCGGAAGAACACCAGUGGCGAAGGCGGCUCACUGGACCGGUAUUGACGCUGAGGUGCGAAAGCGUGGGAGCAAACAGG